rnacentral:lncRNA from 1 species
GAACACAAAAUGGCGACACGUGGUUAGCAUUCGUCGCCAACGAGAAAUUGGGGUCGGCCCGAAAGCUCUAGAAUGCACCCCUCUUCCUCCCCGGGGCCUUCCACCUCCGCGAGUUUUAUGACUUAAAAAAGCCCACAGGCUGGUCUGAAGAGGAAGACAAACAUAAAGAUGAAGUGCUUAAUUCAAGGUCACACAAUGUCGGGGAUGGACCUCCAGAUUUCCUUACUGGAAAACAAGCUCAGGGCUCCCACUGAUUGUACAUUAUGGUGAGACGUGGUCUUGUAACACAGUGGUUAAGAAUGUGACUUUGGAGCCAGCCUGCUAGGGGCUGAAUUCUGACUCAGCCAUUUACUAACUGUGUGACCUUAGGUCACAGAAUUUUCCACACUCCUUGACAGAGGUGCUUAACCCUUAUCCAUCAGCAUUCUCAGACAGCACCUCCGGUUAGGGACAGUAUCUGACCGUCCGACAUCCCUGCAGCCCCCAUGUGUCACACAGACUCAGCCUCAGGUAGAUGGUUUCCGUAGAUGGUGGCUUUCUUUGGACCCUUGACAUCAACCAGUUACUAUUUGCUCCUGCAACCACCGCUGUACUUUCUGUCUCUAUGAACUUGACUACUCUAGACACCUCAUCUCAGCAAGGCCCACAUUUUCCCGGUGAAGCCACAGAACCACAGGGAGAAACCCAUGGACUUCGCCUCUCUCUCUAGGGGACCAGAUGUGC